rnacentral:rRNA from 1 species
CAGCCGCCGCGGUAAUACGGAGGGUGCAAGCGUUAAUCGGAAUUACUGGGCGUAAAGCGCACGCAGGCGGGCUGAUAAGUCAGGGGUGAAAUCCUGGAGCUCAACUCCAGAACUGCCUUUGAUACUGAGAGCCUUGAGUUCGGGAGAGGUGAGUGGAACUGCGAGUGUAGAGGUGAAAUUCGUAGAUAUUCGCAAGAACACCAGUGGCGAAGGCGGCUCACUGGCCCGAUACUGACGCUGAGGUGCGAAAGCGUGGGGAGCAAACAGGAUUAGAUACCCCUGUAGUCCCUGUCUCUUAUAC